rnacentral:rRNA from 1 species
GACGUAGGGUGCAAGCGUUAAUCGGAAUUACUGGGCGUAAAGCGUGCGCAGGCGGUGAUGUAAGUCAGUUGUGAAAUCCCCGGGCUCAACCUGGGAACUGCAUCUGUGACUGCAUCGCUGGAGUGCGGCAGAGGGGGAUGGAAUUCCGCGUGUAGCAGUGAAAUGCGUAGAUAUGCGGAGGAACACCGAUGGCGAAGGCAAUCCCCUGGGCCUGCACUGACGCUCAUGCACGAAAGCGUGGGGAGCAAACAGG